rnacentral:rRNA from 1 species
UACAGAGGGUGCGAGCGUUGUCCGGAAUCACUGGGCGUAAAGGGCGCGUAGGUGGCUGGGUAAGCGUGUGGUGAAAGCCCGGGGCUCAACCCCGGGUCGGCCAUGCGAACUGUCCGGCUGGAGCACGGUAGAGGCACAUGGAAUUCCGGGUGUAGCGGUGGAAUGCGUAGAGAUCCGGAAGAACACCGGUGGCGAAGGCGGUGUGCUGGGCCGUUGCUGACACUGAGGCGCGACAGCGUGGGGAGCAAACAGGAUUAGAUACCCUGGUAGUCCACGCCGUAAACGAUGGGCACUAGGUCCUUGGGGGAGCGACCCCGUGAGGGCCGGCGCUAACGCAUUAAGUGCCCCGCCUGGGGAGUACGGCCGCAAGGCUGAA